GGUUCGAGUCCAGAUGGUGCGCAACGGUAGCGCGUCUGACUACAGAUCAGAAGAUUGCGUGUUCAAAUCACGUCCGGAUCA